rnacentral:rRNA from 1 species
GUCUCAGGCCGUAUCAGCCUGAAGGCGCCCGUUCUCGUCUGAUCUCGGAAGCUAAGCAGGGUCGGGCCUGGUUAGUAUCUUGGAUGGGAGACCACCUGGGAAUCCCGGGUGCUCGAGGCU